GGAUAAGAAACUAAAUAGGAUUCCCUCAGUAAUGGCGAAUGAACAGGGAUAAGCUCAGCAUGGAAAUUGGGGCCUCCGGCCUUGAAUUGUAGUCUUGAGAUGUGUUACCAACGGAGGCGCAGAUGUAAGCCUCUUGGAAAAGAGCGUCAGGGAGGGUGAGAGUCCCGUAUGUCAUCUGCAGUUCUCUGUGCACGGUACAUUUUCUAAGAGUCACGUUCCUCGGGAUUGGAGCGCAAAUUGGGUGGUAAAUUUCAUCUAAAGCUAAAUAUUGGUUCGAGACCGAUAGCAAACAAGUACCAUGAGGGAAAGGUGAAAAGGACUUUGAAAAGAGAGUUAAAAGUGCCUGAAAUUGCUGAAAGGGAAGCGAAUGGAACCAGUUGUUCUUGGCGAGUAUUGGUGUUGUCUAAGGUGAUAGCUUGCCACUUCAACGCAAGUGUGGUGGCAGGUUUUGAUCUGGAUGCGAUACUGCUUCUCGCCUUGCGUGUCAACGUCAGUUCAUAAUUGAGGAAAACUCUAGGGACAUGGUAAUUUGCUUCCGGGCGACUGAAUGUCCCCAGUUGAACUCAUUUUUGAACUGCUCACUGUGUGUCUGGUCGCACUGCUCCGUGUGCUUGCUUGCAAUCUUCUGCUUGGCAUGAAGGUUGCUAGUGCCAGGAGCAUGUCCUUGACAUAAGAACGAUGACGAAAUGGUUUUAUUCGACCCGUCUUGAAACACGGACCAAGGAGACU
rnacentral:rRNA from 1 species